AUUGAACGCUGGCGGCAGGCCUAACACUUGCAAGUCGAGCGGAUGAGGAGAGCUUGCUCUCUGAUUUAGCGGCGGACGGGUGAGUAAUGCCUAGGAAUCUGCCUGGUAGUGGGGGAUAACGUUCCGAAAGGAACGCUAAUACCGCAUACGUCCUACGGGAGAAAGCAGGGGACCUUCGGGCCUUGCGCUAUCAGAUGAGCCUAGGUCGGAUUAGCUAGUUGGUGAGGUAAUGGCUCACCAAGGCGACGAUCCGUAACUGGUCUGAGAGGAUGAUCAGUCAAACUGGAACUGAGACACGGUCCAGACUCCUACGGGAGGCAGCAGUGGGGAAUAUUGGACAAUGGGCGAAAGCCUGGUCCAGCCAUGCCGCGUGUGUGAAGAAGGUCUUCGGAUUGUAAAGCACUUUAAGUUGGGAGGAAGGGUUGUAGAUUAAUACUCUGCAAUUUUGACGUUACCAACAGAAUAAGCACCGGCUAACUUCGUGCCAGCAGCCGCCGUAACAC
rnacentral:rRNA from 1 species